rnacentral:rRNA from 1 species
UACGAAGGGGGCUAGCGUUGCUCGGAAUCACUGGGCGUAAAGGGUGCGUAGGCGGGUCUUUAAGUCAGGGGUGAAAUCCUGGAGCUCAACUCCAGAACUGCCUUUGAUACUGAAGAUCUUGAGUUCGGGAGAGGUGAGUGGAACUGCGAGUGUAGAGGUGAAAUUCGUAGAUAUUAGGAAGAACACCAGUGGCGAAGGCGGCUCACUGGCCCGGUACUGACGCUGAGGCGCGAAAGCGUGGGUAGCAAACAGG